CUUAUGACUAAACAUCUGUACAAGCCUUAACAAUGUCUGGGGCUUAAGAUGAUUUCAGAGUUCACAAAUACGUAAGAGUUUGUUAACACAAGAAUGCAAGGACAAAUCUUCAGCAAGGAAGGAACAACAACAGUAAUUGAAGAUGCUAAAUCUUCAGCAGAUGAUCAUCACGUUCCAAAAGUGAGUUGUUCUUACACAAAUGGACACAAGGACAGAUGGCAGGAAGAGCAAAUUCCAGUGCUUCCAUGAGCAUUCCUGCUUCUUAGUGUUUCAAGACCAAACAACGCUUAGAUGAAGGUACUUCCCUGCCUCUCCAGCCUCUUCACAGGUAGAAAAUUUGUCCUAUUAGUGAAGAGCACAGAGGCAUUUCUAAUUCCGGACACCACGUAUUUCCCAGCACCAUUAAAAUCUGCUGAUUAACCAAUGGCCC